UACAGAGGGGGCUAGCGUUGUUCGGAAUUACUGGGCGUAAAGGGCGCGUAGGCGGCCCUCUAAGUCGAACGUGAAAUCCCCGGGCUCAACCCGGGAACUGCGUCCGAUACUGGAGGGCUCGAAUCCGGGAGAGGCGCGUGGAAUUGCAGGUGUAGCGGUGAAAUGCGUAGAUAUUGGGAAGAACACCAGUGGCGAAGGCGGCUAACUGGUCCAGAUCUGACGCUGAGGUGCGAAAGCGUGGGGAGCAAACAGG
rnacentral:rRNA from 1 species